rnacentral:rRNA from 1 species
ACACAUGCAAGUCGAGGGGUAUAGUAGCAAUACUAGAGACCGGCGCACGGGUGCGUAACGCGUAUGCAAUCUACCUUUUGCAGAGGGAUAGCCCAGAGAAAUUUGGAUUAAUACCUCAUAGUAUAACGACUCGGCAUCGAGAUGUUAUUAAAGUCACAACGGCAAAAGAUGAGCAUGCGUCCCAUUAGUUAGUUGGUAAGGUAACGGCUUACCAAGACUACGAUGGGUAGGGGUCCUGAGAGGGAGAUCCCCCACACUGGUACUGAGACACGGACCAGACUCCUACGGGAGGCAGCAGUGAGGAAUAUUGGACAAUGGGCGCAAGCCUGAUCCAGCCAUGCCGCGUGCAGGAUGACGGUCCUAUGGAUUGUAAACUGCUUUUGCACAGGAAGAAACAACGCUACGUGUAGCGUCUUGACGGUACUGUGAGAAUAAGGAUCGGCUAACUCCGUGCCAGCAGCCGCGGUAAUACGGAGGAUCCAAGCGUUAUCCGGAAUCAUUGGGUUUAAAGGGUCCGUAGGCGGUCUUAUAAGUCAGUGGUGAAAUCUCCCCGCUCAACGGGGAAACGGCCAUUGAUACUGUAGGACUUGAAUUAUUAGGAAGUAACUAGAAUAUGUAGUGUAGCGGUGAAAUGCUUAGAGAUUACAUGGAAUACCAAUUGCGAAGGCAGGUUACUACUAAUGGAUUGACGCUGAUGGACGAAAGCGUGGGUAGCGAACAGGAUUAGAUACCCUGGUAGUCCACGCCGUAAACGAUGGAUACUAGCUGUUGGGCGCAAGUUCAGUGGCUAAGCGAAAGUGAUAAGUAUCCCACCUGGGGA